rnacentral:lncRNA from 1 species
CAAGUCUCAUAUGAAGAUGUAGACAACAAAAACAAAAAUCAACAUGAAUCUCGGGCUGGAUACAACAUAAAAAUAUUCAGUCAGGGAGGAGUGUUAAAUAAAAACAGCAACAAAGAAUGUGGAUGAACAACAACAACAACAACAAAAAUCAACAUGAAUCUCAUGCUGGAUACAACACAAAGAUAUUCAGUCGAGGAGGAGUGUUCAAAAAAAGUUUUUUCAACUCAAAUCUCAGGUCGGAUACAACACAAAGAUAUUCGGUCAAAGAGGAGAGGCUUGAUAAACAAAAAAUACAAUAAAAUUUCAGUGCAAAUCUCAGAUUGGAUACAACAAAAAGAUAUUCAGUCAAGGAAGAGUGUUGGGAAUAAUGCCUAAAUAUCUUUUUUGGAAGAUCUUAGAUUUAAAUAUUAUUUAGAUUUAUGUUUAAAAUAUGAUAA